rnacentral:rRNA from 1 species
AACGAACGCUGGCGGCAGGCUUAACACAUGCAAGUCGAGCGCCCCGCAAGGGGAGCGGCAGACGGGUGAGUAACGCGUGGGAAUCUACCCAUCUCUACGGAAUAACGCAUGGAAACGUGUGCUAAUACCGUAUACGUCCUUCGGGAGAAAGAUUUAUCGGAGAUGGAUGAGCCCGCGUUGGAUUAGCUAGUUGGUGGGGUAAAGGCCUACCAAGGCGACGAUCUAUAGCUGGUCUGAGAGGAUGACCAGCCACACUGGGACUGAGACACGGCCCAGACUCCUACGGGAGGCAGCAGUGGGGAAUAUUGGACAAUGGGCGCAAGCCUGAUCCAGCCAUGCCGCGUGAGUGAUGAAGGCCCUAGGGUUGUAAAGCUCUUUCACCGGUGAAGAUAAUGACGGUAACCGGAGAAGAAGCCCCGGCUAACUUCGUGCCAGCCGCCGCCGUAAAAC